AUUGAACGCUGGCGGCAGGCCUAACACGUGCAAGUCGAGCGGAUGAAGGGAGCUUGCUCCUGGAUUCAGCGGCGGACGGGUGAGUAAUGCCUAGGAAUCUGCCUGGUAGUGGGGGAUAACGUCCGGAAACGGGCGCUAAUACCGCAUACGUCCUGAGGGAGAAAGUGGGGGAUCUUCGGACCUCACGCUAUCAGAUGAGCCUAGGUCGGAUUAGCUAGUUGGUGGUGUAAAGGCCUACCAAGGCGACGAUCCGUAACUGGUCUGAGAGGAUGAUCAGUCACACUGGAACUGAGACACGGUCCAGACUCCUACGGGAGGCAGCAGUGGGGAAUAUUGGACAAUGGGCGAAAGCCUGAUCCAGCCAUGCCGCGUGUGUGAAGAAGGUCUUCGGAUUGUAAAGCACUUUAAGUUGGGAGGAAGGGCAGUAAGUUAAUACCUUGCUGUUUUGACGUUACCAACAGAAUAAGCACCGGCUAACUUCGUG
rnacentral:rRNA from 1 species